AAUGAACGCUGGCGGCAGGCCUAACACAUGCAAGUCGAACGGGUGCCUUCGGGUGCUAGUGGCGGACGGGUGAGUAACGCGUGGGAACAUACCCAAAGGUACGGAAUAGCCUCGGGAAACUGGGAGUAAUACCGUAUGUGCUCGAAAGAGGAAAGAUUUAUCGCCUUUGGAUUGGCCCGCGUUGGAUUAGGUAGUUGGUGGGGGUAAUGGCCUACCAAGCCGACGAUCCAUAGCUGGUUUGAGAGGAUGAUCAGCCACACUGGGACUGAGACACGGCCCAGACUCCUACGGGAGGCAGCAGUGGGGAAUCUUAGACAAUGGGGGAAACCCUGAUCUAGCCAUGCCGCGUGAUCGAUGAAGGCCUUAGGGUUGUAAAGAUCUUUCAGGUGGGAAGAUAAUGACUGUACCACCAGAAGAAGCCCCGGCUAACUCCGUG
rnacentral:rRNA from 1 species